UACAGAGGUCCCCGAGCGUUGUUCGGAUUCAUUGGGCGUAAAGGGUGCGUAGGCGGCGGGGUAAGUCUGAUGUGAAAUCCUGGGGCUCAACCCUGGAACUGCAUUGGAUACUGCCUUGCUAGAGAACUGGAGAGGAGACUGGAAUUUACGGUGUAGCAGUGAAAUGCGUAGAGAUCGUAAGGAAGACCAGUGGCGAAGGCGAGUCUCUGGACAGUUACUGACGCUGAGGCACGAAGGCCAGGGGAGCAAACGGG
rnacentral:rRNA from 1 species